rnacentral:rRNA from 1 species
ACGGAGGAUCCAAGCGUUAUCCGGAAUCAUUGGGUUUAAAGGGUCCGUAGGCGGCUUAAUAAGUCAGUGGUGAAAGCCCUACGCUUAACGUAGGAACGGCCAUUGAUACUGUUAGGCUUGAAUUAUUAGGAAGUAACUAGAAUAUGUAGUGUAGCGGUGAAAUGCUUAGAGAUUACAUGGAAUACCAAUUGCGAAGGCAGGUUACUACUAAUGGAUUGACGCUGAUGGACGAAAGCGUGGGUAGCGAACAGGAUUAGAUACCCUGGUAGUCCACGCCGUAAACGAUGGAUACUAGCUGUUGGGAGCAAUCUCAGUGGCUAAGCGAAAGUGAUAAGUAUCCCACCUGGGGAGUACGUUCGCAAGAAUG